rnacentral:misc_RNA from 1 species
UAGCCCCACAAGCUCACUAACACGACCGUAUCCACCUCCCGGUACACGCAGCAGGCACCAACACGCAAGCAAACGCGCAUUCGUCUUCCACAGGCCCACACUUCGAGAAAGGCGAGAGGACGCAGCCAGCUCUGUUCUUUGAGCAACCAGCGGCCGAGAACGAGAGAUAAGGGCGCCCAGUGCGCGCCUGUGUGUGAAGCACAGCCCUCCAGCGCUCCGUCAGUGCACCGCUAGCGGUCUUUACAUCUAUAUGCCCGUAGGCCUCCACGUGCCAUUUCGGUAAGUUGGAUCGAUCGACGUCCUCACUCGCGGGCUCACUCCUUUUGUGCCGCCGCCCUCCUCCCCCCGCUUUGCGUGAGCCUCACUGUUUUUUUUUUUUUUUGUGCGUGUGUGCGUGGGCCUCCAUCUCCUCAUCACAGUCGUCUCCCGCGUUGCUGUAACGCGUGAAACUGGCAUUCCCUUGCCUUUUUUUUCAUACCGUGACGACGUGUUCUUUGCCUUCUUGCCGGCCUGCCUGCUCGCCAUUUCCAUUCUGACGUGCCACGUAUCCCUCUGUGCGCUUCAUCGGCUCCGCUUCGCUUUUUCGUGUCCUUUUUCUGCACGGAGUCGCUCUCUCUCGUUCCGCCGUUCUCCCUUUCGACAUCCAAAAUUGGUCGUCCGUCGCCAGGAUGCGCGUAAUCGAGAGCCAGAAGGAGGUGUUGCACACCCUCCGCCACCCUUCGCAGCACUCCGCGACAGACCGCAAGAGGGCCUACAUGUUUCUGUUUGUAUACGUUCUCAGCGCUAUCGCGUUCGGCGGGAAUCUCCUCCACUUUAUCAGCGGCUGGAUCGCCGCCACGGUUCUGCAGGUCGUCAUGACCAUCUUGAUAAUGAUAUAUGCCUUCAACAUCAACGACUACAGUGACAAGAGCAUGAGCUCGAUGGAGUGUGAGCGGGCCUGCAACCCGCUGCUCGAUGCCUACAUCGCGCUGCGCGCGGUGCAGCUGAUCCAGGCGCUCUUCUUGCGCAGUUUUGUGUGCACGUUCCUCUUUGCCACGGUGCUUAUCGUAACUCUCUUCCGCGUACGACAGAGGAAGCUGUACGUCGACGCCGUAAAUCUAUGGCGCGAAGUAUCGCAGUACGAGCGGGAAGGCUUCAUCUUCAUAGGUGUUGAUGUGGUUAUGAUUAUUGUACUGAUGCUUUCCAUGGUGUUCUCCAUAGUCACGAAUUACGGUGGCUAAAGUGCCACUGCAACUUACCAGAAGCAUGCAUUCAAGGUGCGGGGGAUGUUGCUAGAAAUGUAAUUUUUUUUUUUCGCGUGCAGUCUCUCUCUCGCUCGCUUGCUUUCUAACGUCGCAUGCGCACGCGCGUCUGGGGCUCGCCAUGCGAAAAGCCUGGCAAGAGGAGUCGCAUGCCGCGGCAGAGGACGCGCUGGGGAGCGGCUGCCUUGUCAGCGUGUUCGUCUCUCUGAGCGCGCGUGAUGAGGAAGGAGUGCACUUAGUGGCGAGGGAGAUACCACGAGCGUCGCCGGCGCUUGUGGCUUUAGAUAUCGAACUCCUAGAAAGGAACGGAGGGAGCGAGAGGGCUGCGGUGGUGGAGGGUGGGCAUCGUGCAGCCACGCGCGGCAGCAGAGUUCGGACUGUUGGUGGGCUGUUUUGAGUGGCUCUUAUUGUUUCUGUUUUAGACGAGCCUGUUACUAAGACCCGUUGUGUAUCUCUUUCUCUCGCUUGUUUCGCUGUUCUUGAGGUGGCGCCUGCCGCUUGGGGUAUGUGGAAUGUGUUUGUGCGUCCUCGUGUUGUGGACGCCUGCAGCAAGCGGUAUCAACACG